AACAACUUGGCCUUUGGCCGAGUGGCUGUGAGAGCAGCGGUUAGAGUUGAUAUGAAUUUCAAUUCUCCUUGAUUGAGUAGAGGAACUAAUUUGUAAUUUUUUUCCUUGUGCCAAAUAUUUAUUAUGAUUGUAUCUGAAAUAUCAUUUCUGAAAGAAAAAAAGGCCCACUCAAACAAGGCUUCUUCGAAGUGGUAGUGGCUCAACUCAUCGUCAAUCCAGCAAAACGGAAGCCAAUAUAACUCAAAGAAAGCCAAGAAGUGAAACGAAUCCAGCAAGCACACCAAUUCUACAUUACAAGCUUCAACAGCAACCCAGUACAAUUUCUGACAACACCAGAAUACUUUUGUAUGAUUACUUUUGGGACCAAUCCUUCCGGUUAAAAUUGGCGCAUUUUAUUACAUCAUAUGUUGUGACAGCGUAAUGAGCACUUCAACGAGCCUUCUUAAUCGUAACAUUUCUAUUAUUCAUCUGCUCAUUAACUGACAAUUACAGUAACAAGAUAAUCCAGAAACAA
rnacentral:lncRNA from 1 species